rnacentral:rRNA from 1 species
UACGUAGGGUGCGAGCGUUGUCCGGAAUUACUGGGCGUAAAGAGCUCGUAGGUGGUUUGUCGCGUUGUUCGUGAAAACCGGGGGCUUAACCCUCGGCGUGCGGGCGAUACGGGCAGACUUGAGUACUGCAGGGGAGACUGGAAUUCCUGGUGUAGCGGUGGAAUGCGCAGAUAUCAGGAGGAACACCGGUGGCGAAGGCGGGUCUCUGGACCAACACUGACACUGAGGAGCGAAAGCCAGGGGAGCAAACGGG